rnacentral:lncRNA from 1 species
UGUUAUGAUCAUGUAAUAGCAUGCAAUCAACUUACAAGUUUCUGCCUUCAAAAAAAUGUUGAAAAGAAUUGACCAAAAACCUGUGCUAGUUGUGACGAAUGUGAGAACUUGAUUAGUCAAGAUUUUUGUGAUGAGUACAAGGAUCGAUGUGACAUUGAUCCAAAAGUUAGAUACGCAUGCAAAAAAACUUGCGGAUUAUGUAAUAAUUCCAGCUAUGAUGCCCUAUUGAAUGAUUUACAAUGCAAUACUUUUAAACGGAAAGGCUACUGCGAAAAACCUAGAACUACCAUUUUUAGGCAA